UCACACAACCGGAAUACUCAGGAACAUUUAGUACUCGACUAAGUACGCUCCUGCAAUCCUGGACCUCGGUUGAAGGUAAGGUUUGGGAUAAAGUCUCCUGAAAUAUUAUUAGAGGAGAUUAAAAAUGAAUUAUAUGUCUAACAAAAUUUUCGAUAUAAUUAAAGAAAUAAUGUUACAUAUACUUACACAUUCGUCAUAAACAUUUUGGACCGCUUCAACGACAGC
rnacentral:lncRNA from 1 species